rnacentral:lncRNA from 1 species
GACCAUCUCGCCACCCCCCGCUCUCUGUUUUCUCUAUUUUUCCUAGAAGAGACUCUAUUCCUUAAAUAGAUAUAGAAAGGGUAGAGACAAAUCCCCUGAGACAGGGUUUCAGGUAUGAAAAAUCAAUUCAUAGACCUGGUUAACAAUUAUUAACUUAUUUUCUUGGUAAUCAAAGAUCCUGCUGCAGGGUCUUGGUUCAUCUUAAACGCACCUGCUGUUCCUACCACAGUUCAUCUCUUGAUUUUUCCCUGUACGCUGAAAUGCAGCUCUAAUUUGUGGACACUUGAUGAGGAGGUGAGCUAAUUGUUCCCUACCUUGUAUUACUUCAUUGGUGGUAGGAGGAAUUUAAUGCGGAGUGAGUGGGACCCAGUUAGGAGAUUUUAAUAGCCCUUGGUGAUCCAAGCAACAAGAUCCACCUUGGUCUGGUUAAACUUUCACCUCCAUGAAUCAAAUCUAUCUCCAUCUCCACAAAUCCAAAUCUCCAUCUCAACAGGGAGGACCAAGGGCAGAAGCUCAUUGCCCCUGGGAAACAGCAAGGUUAGGUUAGUUUUAUUUACAGAGAAAACAACUCAAAUUCCCAGCUGGGGUAGGGACCCAUCCCAAUUAUAGCAGAUGCAUAUGGAAGAAAUGCAAGAAUAUUUCUAGAACCUUCAGAGAAAUCUCUUUCUGAACUGGUUAAGGUGGGAGGUGGGGGAGAUUUAGACACAAAGAGCAAUGUUACAGAUUAAUAUUAGACAUCAAACAAUAUAGUAUUAAUAUUAAUUUUCCUCAGGGAUUUAUAGAGUAUCAAUUCCCUCAUUUAUUAGAUGAGAACACUGAGGUUCAGAGAGAUCCUGACUCCCAGUUCAGUGUACCACACAUCACACAGUAGCUGACACCCAUAUAAAUAUGUCUUUAAUUGAAAUAUGAAAAUUAGAUGUGAGCCACUCUACCUUAGAAUUCAGGAAAAAGGAAAUAAAAAUCUUUGUUUGGUCUAACAUGAAAGUUAGAUUUUUUAAAAAUCUUAUUUUAUUUUAUUUUCAGUUCCAAAUUCUCUUCCUCCCACUUGCCUCUCACUCAUCCACUGAGAAGGGAUCACUGAUGAUGGCUCAGAAAUCACAUCUACCAGUUCUUUUGGUUGUUCAUCUAGGCCAGGUGACUUGAAUUCACCAAGAACUUUCCUGCCUCCUAACUUAUCUUGGGUUGCUGAGUUUUACGGCAAAAAUUAUUUCUUUUGAUUCAAAGAAGCCUCUCUUUGAAACAACUGUCAUUCUCUAGCUGAUAAAACAGGAACUUCCAGGUGCAUAGCUAAUUUAAUUCAAAGGCCAUACAUGAGAUGCCAUUUCACUUCCCUGAACUUUGAAAAAAAACAGGGUCUGCUAAAAAAAAAAAAUUCUAUUUAAAUUUACAUUCCCUUCUAAAGGAAUUUCCUCUGACUAGGAUUGAGUACAGUGGCAGGCAACCAAAGGACACUCAGGAAAUGCUUAUUGAUGUGCUGAUUUGUUUAUGGCUCACACAAGACCCAUACAAAUAGUAUUUGAAUGCAAUUUUGAUGAUGAUGGGAGAGUGUCCUUGCUAAAUGUCAGUGUACUUCAUACUGAGCCACUCUGAUGUUUGAAAAUGAUCGUAUCCAUGUAAAAGCAUAGUAUUAAAUCUUCUCUAGUUCUUCUUAAAUAAAACACUGAUAUAGUCAAUGUGAUUAAUGGUA